UUGCCCUUGGCGCGCGCCGGGUGGAGUUCGGCCUUGUUGAGGCUCGACAACGACACGAUCAGGGCGGCGAAGCUCAGCACGUUGAGGGCAAGC
rnacentral:tRNA from 1 species